rnacentral:rRNA from 1 species
UCAGAGAAGAAAUUUUGACGGUAUCUGAGGAAUAAGCAUCGGCUAACUCUGUGCCAGCAGCCGCGGUAAGACAGAGGAUGCAAGCGUUAUCCGGAAUGAUUGGGCGUAAAGCGUCUGUAGGUGGUUUGACAAGUUUCCUGUCAAAGAUCAGGGCUUAACCCUGGGCCGGCAGGAAAUACUAUCAGGCUAGAGUACGGUAGGGGCAGAGGGAAUUCCCGGUGGAGCGGUGAAAUGCGUAGAUAUCGG